UUAAGCGACUAAGCGUACACGGUGGAUGCCUAGGCAGUCAGAGGCGAUGAAGGGCGUGCUAAUCUGCGAAAAGCGUCGGUAAGCUGAUAUGAAGCGUAAUAACCGACGAUACCCGAAUGGGGAAACCCAGUGCAAUUCGUUGCACUAUUGCAUGGUGAAUACAUAGCCAUGCAAGGCGAACCGGGGGAACUGAAACAUCUAAGUACCCCGAGGAAAAGAAAUCAACCGAGAUUCCCCCAGUAGCGGCGAGCGAACGGGGAAGAGCCCAGAGUCUGAAUCAGUUGGUGUGUUAGUGGAAGCGUCUGGAAAGUCGCACGGUACAGGGUGAUAGUCCCGUACACAAAAACACACUGGCUGUGAACUCGAUGAGUAGGGCGGGACACGUGACAUCCUGUCUGAAUAUGGGGGGACCAUCCUCCAAGGCUAAAUACUCCUGACUGACCGAUAGUGAACCAGUACCGUGAGGGAAAGGCGAAAAGAACCCCGGCGAGGGGAGUGAAAUAGAACCUGAAACCGUGUACGUACAAGCAGUGGGAGCACCUUCGUGGUGUGACUGCGUACCUUUUGUAUAAUGGGUCAGCGACUUAUAUUUUGUAGCAAGGUUAACCGAAUAGGGGAGCCGUAGGGAAACCGAGUCUUAACUGGGCGUCUAGUUGCAAGGUAUAGACCCGAAACCCGGUGAUCUAGCCAUGGGCAGGUUGAAGGUUGGGUAACACUAACUGGAGGACCGAACCGACUAAUGUUGAAAAAUUAGCGGAUGACUUGUGGCUGGGGGUGAAAGGCCAAUCAAACCGGGAGAUAGCUGGUUCUCCCCGAAAGCUAUUUAGGUAGCGCCUCGUGAACUCAUCUUCGGGGGUAGAGCACUGUUUCGGCUAGGGGUCCAUCCCGGAUUACCAAACCGAUGCAAACUCCGAAUACCGAAGAAUGUUAUCACGGGAGACACACGGCGGGUGCUAACGUCCGUCGUGAAGAGGGAAACAACCCAGACCGCCAGCUAAGGUCCCAAAGUCAUGGUUAAGUGGGAAACGAUGUGGGAAGGCAUAGACAGCCAGGAUGUUGGCUUAGAAGCAGCCAUCAUUUAAAGAAAGCGUAAUAGCUCACUGGUCGAGUCGGCCUGCGCGGAAGAUGUAACGGGGCUAAACCAUGCACCGAAGCUGCGGCAGCGACGCUUAGGCGUUGUUGGGUAGGGGAGCGUUCUGUAAGCCGUUGAAGGUGGCCUGUGAGGGCUGCUGGAGGUAUCAGAAGUGCGAAUGCUGACAUAAGUAACGAUAAUGCGGGUGAAAAACCCGCACGCCGGAAGACCAAGGGUUCCUGUCCAACGUUAAUCGGGGCAGGGUGAGUCGACCCCUAAGGCGAGGCUGAAAAGCGUAGUCGAUGGGAAACAGGUUAAUAUUCCUGUACUGGGUGUGACUGCGAAGGGGGGACGGAGAAGGCUAGGCUAGCCGGGCGACGGUUGUCCCGGUUUAAGCAUGUAGGCGGAGUGACUUGGUAAAUCCGGUUGCUUAUCAACGCUGAGGUGUGAUGACGAGCCACUACGGUGGUGAAGUAGUUGAUGCCAAGCUUCCAGGAAAAGCCUCUAAGCAUCAGGUGACAUUCAAUCGUACCCCAAACCGACACAGGUGGUCAGGUAGAGAAUACUCAGGCGCUUGAGAGAACUCGGGUGAAGGAACUAGGCAAAAUGGUGCCGUAACUUCGGGAGAAGGCACGCUGGCAUUAGGUAAAGAGACUUGCUCUCGGCGCCGAAGCCAGUCGCAGAUACCAGCUGGCUGCAACUGUUUAAUAAAAACACAGCACUGUGCAAACACGAAAGUGGACGUAUACGGUGUGACGCCUGCCCGGUGCUGGAAGGUUAAUUGAUGGGGUCAGCCGCAAGGCGAAGCUCUUGAUCGAAGCCCCAGUAAACGGCGGCCGUAACUAUAACGGUCCUAAGGUAGCGAAAUUCCUUGUCGGGUAAGUUCCGACCUGCACGAAUGGCGUAAUGAUGGCCAGGCUGUCUCCACCCGAGACUCAGUGAAAUUGAACUCGCUGUGAAGAUGCAGUGUACCCGCGGCAAGACGGAAAGACCCCGUGAACCUUUACUAUAGCUUGACACUGAAUAUUGAGCCUUGAUGUGUAGGAUAGGUGGGAGGCAUCGAAGCGUGGACGCCAGUCUACGUGG
rnacentral:rRNA from 1 species